rnacentral:snRNA from 1 species
GUGCUCACUUCAGCAGCACAUAUACUAAAAUUGGAGUGUCUCACUAUGAGAACGUUAGCAUGGUCCCUACGCAAGGAUAUAACGUAAAAGACAAAGGAUAGAGAGAAGUCA